rnacentral:rRNA from 1 species
GAGUAAUGUCUGGGAAACUGCCUGAUGGAGGGGGAUAACUACUGGAAACGGUGGCUAAUACCGCAUAACGUCGCAAGACCAAAGAGGGGGACCUUCGGGCCUCUUGCCAUCAGAUGUGCCCAGAUGGGAUUAGCUUGUUGGUGAGGUAACGGCUCACCAAGGCGACGAUCCCUAGCUGGUCUGAGAGGAUGACCAGCCACACUGGAACUGAGACACGGUCCAGACUCCUACGGGAGGCAGCAGUGGGGAAUAUUGCACAAUGGGCGCAAGCCUGAUGCAGCCAUGCCGCGUGUAUGAAGAAGGCCUUCGGGUUGUAAAGUACUUUCAGCGGGGAGGAAGGUGUUGUGGUUAAUAACCGCAGCAAUUGACGUUACCCGCAGAAGAAGCACCGGCUAACUCCGUGCCAGCAGCCGCGGUAAUACGGAGGGUGCAAGCGUUAAUCGGAAUUACUGGGCGUAAAGCGCACGCAGGCGGUCUGUCAAGUCGGAUGUGAAAUCCCCGGGCUCAACCUGGGAACUGCAUUCGAAACUGGCAGGCUUGAGUCUUGUAGAGGGGGGUAGAAUUCCAGGUGUAGCGGUGAAAUGCGUAGAGAUCUGGAGGAAUACCGGUGGCGAAGGCGGCCCCCUGGACAAAGACUGACGCUCAGGUGCGAAAGCGUGGGG